rnacentral:misc_RNA from 1 species
CCAAUAGCGUAUAUUAAAGUUGUUGCAGUUAAAAAGCUCGUAGUUGAAUUUCGGGAUCAAUAUGUUGGUCGUGCCUCGGUACGUACUAGCAUAUUGGUUUCUCCUUUCUGAAGAACCAUGAUGUCAUUUAUUUGGUGUCGUGGGGAAUCAGGACUGUUACUUUGAAAAAAUUAGAGUGUUUAAAGCAGGCUCACGCUUGAAUACAUUAGCAUGGAAUAAUGAAAUAGGACGUUUGAUUCUAUUUUGUUGGUUUCUAGGAUCGACGUAAUGAUUAAUAGGGAUAGUUGGGGGCAUUAGUAUUCAAUUGUCAGAGGUGAAAUUCUUGGAUUUAUUGAAGACUAACUACUGCGAAAGCAUUUGCCAAGGAUGUUUUCAUUAAUCAAGAACGAAAGUUAGGGGAUCGAAGACGAUCAGAUACCGUCGUAGUCUUAACCAUAAACUAUGCCGACUAGGGAUCGGAUGAUGUUAAUUUUUUAAUGACUCAUUCGGCGCCUUACG